rfam:Apaloderma vittatum contig55355, whole genome shotgun sequence.
GGCCAGUUAGCUCAGUGAGUUGAGCAUGGUGCUAACAACACCAAGGUUGCAGGUUCAAUUCCCAUUCGGUCCC